AACUUUCAUCCAUUCAAAAGUUUCCGCCGUACCGUAAACCGCCCGAGGCGGGCCUCUUCUCUCCUCCGGGCCGAGCAGGGGGGCCCUGAAGCUCUCGGGCGGAGCAGUGCGGAAUAGAUCCUCCGGGCUGCACGGGUAGGGGAGGUCCAUCGGCCGAGCUCCGAAAGGUUGCCCGGGGAGACCGGCUGGGCACGAGGAGGAAGAGGAGGACGAGGAGGAAGAGGCCGGGCAAUCUGCGUCCCCAUAAAUCGGAGGGUACAGAGCGAGGUAUCUCUCUGGGCAAACACACAAGAGGGAUGGGAGAGAGGGGGUCUUUCGCAAGCCGUCUCUCUCGGGGAGGCGAGGAAGGGGCACAGGCAGCCCCCCCCCCCCAGUUCUCCCACCGCCCAGACCCUCCUGGAAUAUCCAUUGGGAAGCGAAAGGCAUGUUUCCCGGAGCCUGCCGUUUCUUACUUCCGAGAGUAGGCACUGCAGAGUUCAGGGAAAACAGAAGAUGGAGCGAAUUUCCUCCUACCUUGUGACAAGCAAUAGAACUUCAGGGGAAAGAAGCAAAAAUGUUGCUUGAGUCUCUGGAAAAAAGCAGAUAGGU